UGGCUUAGCUAAUAGCUACGGGAACGAAGGAGCCAAACUUCAUAUCUCAAGUAAUUAAAAUGGUUCGCAAGGCCUGCAGCGUUUACAUGAUCCCCUUCUUUCUAUUGCUAUUGUUUUCAUCAGAAUUAGUCUUUGCCAAUGUUUCUGAAGAUCCAAUACACAGGAAGAUGAUGAUUAGUAGGUCGCAGCAUCUGCAAAUGCAAAUGGAGACCAUUUUGGCAAAGAAAGGGGCGCAAAUAGGCGUACCAAUAGUAUCUAACCCACCUGGAAUAGGAAAGUAAGUCCCAUGAGCCGGCCACCUAGGACCCAUCAGGGAUCGCCCCGAUUGUAAAAUUUUUAUUUUUUUUAGUGAAUAAAAUAUUAUUCAAAGUUACAUUA